AAGACAUUGAAAUUUUAAGAAAUAAGAAAGGGAAAAUGAACUUAAUUAAUAACAUUUGAUACACAUGGUAAAUAAAUUAACAAUUUGAAGAUAUAACAAGUUUAAAUACAUAAAUUAUAAUUUGACCAUUGAUACUACACGUUGUCAUGGUUGUGACGUGACGUUGUUGAUCAAAUACAGUAGUUCCGGUAAGUAGGCGGGGCUUAUAGGUUAAUUGAGAUCAUUGACCUAUAAAGCUAACGUUUAUACGUAUAGCUUUAUCUGUAUAGUAAAAUAGCUGAUUGCAGUAUAAA
rnacentral:lncRNA from 1 species